AUUGAACGCUGGCGGCAGGCCUAACACAUGCAAGUCGAACGGAGUGGCGGACGGGUGAGUAAUGUCUGGGAAACUGCCUGAUGGAGGGGGAUAACUACUGGAAACGGUAGCUAAUACCGCAUACUAUCAGAUUAGCCUAGGUCGGAUUAGCUAGUUGGUGGGGUAAAGGCCUACCAAGGCGACGAUCGGUAACUGGGCUGAGAGGAGGAUCAGUCACACUGGAACUGAGACACGGUCCAGACUCCUCCGGGAGGCACCAGUGGGGAAUAUUGGACAAUGGGCGAAAGCCUGAGCCAGCCAUGCCGCGUGUGUGAAGAAGGUCUUCGGAUUGUAAAGCACUUUAAGUUGGGAGGCGUUACCAACAGAAUAAGCACCGGCUAACUUCGUGCCAGCAGCCGCGGUAAUUC
rnacentral:rRNA from 1 species